rnacentral:rRNA from 1 species
GACGAACCGAGCGAACGUUGUUCGGAAUCACUGGGCUUAAAGGGCGCGUAGGCGGGCUGUCAAGUCUGGGGUGAAAUCCCACGGCUCAACCGUGGAACUGCCUCAGAUACUGACGGCCUCGAGGGAGGUAGGGGCGAGCGGAACUGUGAGUGGAGCGGUGAAAUGCGUUGAUAUUCACAGGAACUCCGGUGGCGAAGGCGGCUCGCUGGACCUCUUCUGACGCUGAGGCGCGAAAGCUAGGGGAGCAAACGGG